GUGCUCGCUUCGGCGGCACAUAUACUAAAAUUGGAACGAUACAGAGAAGAUUAACAUGGCCCCUGAGCAAGGGUGACACGCAAAAAUUCAUUAAGUGUUCCAUAUCUUU
rnacentral:snRNA from 1 species